UACAGAGGGUGCGAGCGUUAAUCGGAAUUACUGGGCGUAAAGCGCGCGUAGGCGGCUUUGCAAGUCGGGUGUGAAAUCCCCAGGCUUAACCUGGGAACUGCAUUCGAGACUGCAUUGCUAGAGUAUGGGAGAGGGAAGUGGAAUUUCCGGUGUAGCGGUGAAAUGCGUAGAUAUCGGAAGGAACACCAGUGGCGAAGGCGGCGGCCUGGACUGAUACUGACGCUGAGGUGCGAAAGCGUGGGGAGCAAACAGG
rnacentral:rRNA from 1 species